CCUAUGAGCAAGAACAGUUAGAACCUCAUCCACCACCGUACAUUCCACAUGGAGAAAUCACUACUCUUCAUCCUCAUCAUGACAACAGAUGCUGUGGCGGAUCAACUUACUCCUGCCAACUCCAACAUCAAAAGUCUGGAAGGGAACCGUAUAAGUUUGCAGUGUUCCUAUACAGCAAGCAGUGAAUAUGUUUUGCUUUACUGGUAUAAGCAGUAUCCAAAUGAAGCACCUCAGUACAUACUAUACAAAGGAGCUCAAUCUAGCACUGGUCAUGAUGAUAUUCCUGACCCUCAGUAUUAUGAUUCCACAACAUCCAGAGCAUCUACUGAGCUCAUUAUUAAAGUUCUGUCUGUGGCAGACACAGCUCUCUACUACUGUGCUCUGAGGACCCCAGUGAUACAAACUCACUGACAAGCUGAACAAAAACAUAAACACAAAUGGUGGUUUUAAAGCCAAACACAUCAAAGUCA